rnacentral:rRNA from 1 species
CCUACGGGAGGCUGCAGUGAGGAAUAUUGGUCAAUGGGCGCGAGCCUGAACCAGCCAAGUCGCGUGAAGGAUGACUGCCCUAUGGGUUGUAAACCUCUUUUAUAAAGGAAUAAAGUGUGGCACGCGUGCCUCUUUGUAUGUACUUUAUGAAUAAGGAUCGGCUAACUCCGUGCCAGCAGCCGUGGUAAUACGGAGGAUCCGAGCGUUAUCCGGAUUUAUUGGGUUUAAAGGGCGCGUAGAUGGGUUUUUAAGUCAGUUGUGAAAGUUUGCGGCUCAACCGUAAAAUUGCAAUUGAUACUGGCAGUCUUGAGUACAGUUGAGGUAGGCGGAAUUCGUGGUGUAGCGGUGAAAUGCAUAGAUAUCACGAAGAACCCCGAUUGCGAAGGCAGCUUACUAAGCUGCCACUGACAUUGAUGCUCGAAAGUGUGGGUAUCAAACAGGAUUAGAUACCCCUGUAGUC